rnacentral:lncRNA from 1 species
UGUAACCGCCAUCACGAUAACUUGCACAACACAAAUACGCAUACAGCUAUCAUACAUUUUUCAGAGAGACAACUUCAUUGUAUCGGCUUAAACUAGACCACAGGGACAGGUUCGGAAAAUAAGGUUUCGGAAUCGUGAGCUUAUAUGAAUGCUUGAAGACAUUUGAGGUUAUGAUGGAAGUCGACUUUAUAUUGAAUAUCCCACCAUGAGCAGAGCGACAUGAGUGAAUGCAAACAGAUCACGUGACAUACUCCAUCCGCCAUGAUACUAGGUUGGACGUUUCGCGCGGAAAGAGCUGUUGACGAUAAAUACAUUCAGAGUGAGUUAUUCAAGUUGUGACACUUUUUUGUGUUGCAUUGACGAGGGUGGACAACGUGCUGUGUUUGUACCGAGUUUAGAAUACUGUGUGUGGACAAAAUGACAAAAUGCAUUUUAAACAACCUUCUGUGGAGUGUACAACUAUGUUGUAAAGAUGAGUGACCUUCACACCAUCGUGGAUGUCGAUGGGGAAGCAGUGACGGCACACAGACCCAACGCUCAACCCAACACAGAACCUGUCCGACCAUUGCCAACCUCCCCUGCUCCACAGUCCGAGCCCGGCGCUACCACAGUGCCGGCACAUGGUUUCCAGAAAUACUUUGAGGAUAAAUCAGUAUUGUGCCCUUCAGGGUCUUCACAUGAAGACAUUGACGCCAUAAGGGGACUAUUGGAGCAGUCCCAGCCUACCACCGCUUGACAGACAUUUAAUAUGUGAAAGAAAAUGACACCGUGCAUAAAAAGACGCCACCAUCUUGUAAUUAUGAUGAUAAUGACUCUUUAGUUGUUUGACGAUCAUUACUGUGCUACAAACUUUCAAGCAACUAAAAAUCACCAAUAUUUACACCAGAUUGUGCUAUGGAACUUAACGAUGUAAUCCUCAUUUCAAGGUUUAAAGAGGACACUACAACCAGACCACGUUUUAAAGGGGACCACGCACGGAUGAUAACGCUUCAUUCCAGAUGGCGGGAGAAGAAACCCCCAUAGCACAGGAAACACGUUCAGAUGAGGAAGGCCAAGUGUGUGUUAGCAGUUCAAAGGACCUUGGCAGAAUGGAAGAUCAUUUUGAGAGGGCACACACAGAGAUGCGCCAAGCACCCCCAGAACAGAACAUUCAGCACCCAGAAGAUAUAGAGGGACCCUUUGCUAUUGUGUCGAGUGGCCAGAUCCGACAGGAACCACCUAUAUUUAGGACAUAUUUCAUUCACCUAUCAAAGGCCUGCAAUGAAGCUCACAUGGCCAUGGCAGAGGAGCGGGAUUAUGUGCAGGAAGAUACAGUCAUUGCUUCCCCAAAGGAAGAAGACGUAAAUACCUUUUCAAUUUCCAUAUCGGGGACACACUUGCCAGACAACAACAAGGAAUAUCUACACUUCGUAUUCAUCCCACCCCUUCAACAGCGCUUCGACAGUGGACUAAGGUCACUUGGUAGGAAAUAAGUACUAUAAGAAAGACAUGGGAGGACAGGUACAUCAAGACUCUGUGUCCAAAAUAUUGACAAUGCUUUAAAUUUGUUUGAAUACCUAAUAAUUAAAUUGUGUUAGCAUAUUUUAUUGGGCAUGUGUGAUCAAAGGCAAAGUUACUGUGAUCACAGGAUGAUUGGGAGAUUAAGAGCAAUUAUGACAUGGACCAUAUGCUUAUGGUUUUACAGAUUUUAAGUGUGUACAGAACAGACACUUGUAAAACCAGAUCAAAGACUAAUGUGUUGUUUUAAUUGGGAUAAAAUGAAACUGAUGAACAUCGCAUGUGGCUUGCAUGAAACCAUUUCAAUUAUUUAAGAACACCAAGACUGCAUUUGAAAUUUGAUUUUGCUUAAUCUUUGCUUAAGACCAUCAAAAUCUUAUUUUGUUCAUCUUCAGAAUAUUAAAUAGUAGUAUAUUUUCUAUCUAGAAAGAAAAAGAGAGAGGUUUUGUCUUAUGCGUUUCACAAUGCGAUAAAUACGAAGAUGAUCACAAUAAUCUUUGCCACUGAUCAUAUUAUACCAAUGAUGCAUUGUUCGCUACUGACCUGUGGG